AAUACCUCAGAUAGCAGCCCUAUCCAGGAGAAUAUACAGACUUUAGGCAGAAGGUAAAAAGACUAAAAACAAAAUGAAUUUCAUGUCGUGAUCAGUUUCGCCGUGAGUUCAAUGCCAACAAAGGUCAUAGCGGCGAUGGGAAACAAAAAAAAACAACCAUAUCUAUACACCAAGGAUUUACAGUUUCUUUUACCUAUAAUGGACCUGCGACCUACUGUGGAUAAUCUGGAGGCUGAAGGUGACUCUUCAACUGAUAUAGAUAAUCUGACACCACCACCAUCAUGUUCAACAGCUGCUGUAGAAAUGGAGGAUGUUCCAAGACCAGAUGAGGAAAGU